UGAGGAAUAUUGGUCAAUGGGCGGAAGCCUGAACCAGCCAAGUAGCGUGCAGGACGACGGCCCUAUGGGUUGUAAACUGCUUUUAUGCGGGGAUAAAGUGGGCCACGCGUGGCCUUUUGCAGGUACCGCAUGAAUAAGGACCGGCUAAUUCCGUGCCAGCAGCCGCGGUAAUACGGAAGGUCCGGGCGUUAUCCGGAUUUAUUGGGUUUAAAGGGAGCGCAGGCCGCCGGGCAAGCGUGUUGUGAAAUGCCGCGGCUCAACCGUGGCACUGCAGCGCGAACUGGGGGGCUUGAGUGCACGCAACGCAGGCGGAAUUCGUGGUGUAGCGGUGAAAUGCUUAGAUAUCACGA
rnacentral:rRNA from 1 species